GACGAACGCUGGCGGCGUGCCUAAUACAUGCAAGUGGGACGCAAGGGAACACACUGUGCUUGCACACCGUGUUUUCUUGAGUCGCGAACGGGUGAGUAACGCGUAGGUAACCUGCCUAUUAGCGGGGGAUAACUAUUGGAAACGAUAGCUAAUACCGCAUAAUAUUAAUUAUUGCAUGAUAAUUGAUUGAAAGAUGCAAGCGCAUCACUAGUAGAUGGACCUGCGUUGUAUUAGCUAGUUGGUAAGGUAAGAGCUUACCAAGGCGACGAUACAUAGCCGACCUGAGAGGGUGAUCGGCCACACUGGGACUGAGACACGGCCCAGACUCCUACGGGAGGCAGCAGUAGGGAA
rnacentral:rRNA from 1 species